UCUGGUUUGGGCCGAUCGCAUGGCCUUGAGCCGGCGACGUAUCCUUCCAAGGUGUGCCCUAUCAACUGUCGACUGUGGUAUAGACGYCCACAGUGGUUUUGACGGGUAACGGGGAAUUAGGGUUCGAUUCCGGAGAGGGAGCCUGAKAAACKGCUACCACUUCUACGGAAGGCAGCAGGUACGCAAAUUACCCCCUGGCCGAAGGCCGAGGUAGUGACGAAAAAUAACGAUACCGGACUCAUCCGAGGCCCGGUAAUCGGAAUGAGUACACUUUAAAUCCUUUAACGAGGAUCAAUUGGAGGGCAAGUCUGG
rnacentral:rRNA from 1 species